rnacentral:rRNA from 1 species
GAUGAACGCUGGCGGCGUGCCUAAUACAUGCAAGUCGAGCGAACGGACGAGAAGCUUGCUUCUCUGAUGUUAGCGGCGGACGGGUGAGUAACGCGUGGAUAACCUACCUAUAAGACUGGGAUAACUUCGGGAAACCGGAGCUAAUACCGGAUGAUAUUUUGAACCGCAUGGUUCAAAAGUGAAAGACGGUCUUGCUGUCACUUAUAGAUGGAUCCGCGCUGCAUUAGCUAGUUGGUAAGGUAACGGCUUACCAAGGCAACGAUGCAUAGCCGACCUGAGAGGGUGAUCGGCCACACUGGAACUGAGACACGGUCCAGACUCCUACGGGAGGCAGCAGUAGGGAAUCUUCCGCAAUGGGCGAAAGCCUGACGGAGCAACGCCGCGUGAGUGAUGAAGGUCUUCGGAUCGUAAAACUCUGUUAUUAGGGAAGAACAUAUGUGUAAGUAACUGUGCACAUCUUGACGGUACCUAAUCAGAAAGCCACGGCUAACUACGUGC